rnacentral:rRNA from 1 species
UGCCCAGGGCUACACACGUGCUACAAUGGAUCGUACAAAGGGUAGCCAACCCGCGAGGGGGAGCCAAUCCCAGAAACCGGUCCUCAGUUCGGAUUGGAGUCUGCAACUCGACUCCAUGAAGUUGGAAUCGCUAGUAAUCCCGGAUCAGCAUGCC